rnacentral:rRNA from 1 species
AGGCUUAACACAUGCAAGUCGNAGGGGCAGCAUGGUCUUAGCUUGCUAAGGCCGAUGGCGACCGGCGCACGGGUGAGUAACACGUAUCCAACCUGCCGUCUACUCUUGGACAGCCUUCUGAAAGGAAGAUUAAUACAAGAUGGCAUCAUGAGUCCGCAUGUUCACAUGAUUAAAGGUAUUCCGGUAGACGAUGGGGAUGCGUUCCAUUAGAUAGUAGGCGGGGUAACGGCCCACCUAGUCUUCGAUGGAUAGGGGUUCUGAGAGGAAGGUCCCCCACAUUGGAACUGAGACACGGUCCAAACUCCUACGGGAGGCAGCAGUGAGGAAUAUUGGUCAAUGGGCGAGAGCCUGAACCAGCCAAGUAGCGUGAAGGAUGACUGCCCUAUGGGUUGUAAACUUCUUUUAUAAAGGAAUAAAGUCGGGUAUGCAUACCCGUUUGCAUGUACUUUAUGAAUAAGGAUCGGCUAACUCCGUGCCAGCAGCCGCGGUAAUACGGAGGAUCCGAGCGUUAUCCGGAUUUAUUGGGUUUAAAGGGAGCGUAGAUGGAUGUUUAAGUCAGUUGUGAAAGUUUGCGGCUCAACCGUAAAAUUGCAGUUGAUACUGGAUAUCUUGAGUG